GACGAACCGUGCAAACGUUGUUCGGAAUCACUGGGCGUAAAGGGCGCGUAGGCGGCCUGUUAAGUCGAACGUGAAAUCCCCGGGCUCAACCCGGGAACUGCGUCCGAUACUGGCAGGCUUGAAUUCGGGAGAGGGAUGCGGAAUUCCAGGUGUAGCGGUGAAAUGCGUAGAUAUCUGGAGGAACACCGGUGGCGAAGGCGGCAUCCUGGACCGAGAUUGACGCUGAGGCGCGAAAGCCAGGGGAGCAAACGGG
rnacentral:rRNA from 1 species